AUUGAACGCUGGCGGCAGGCCUAACACAUGCAAGUCGAACGGUAACAGGAAGAAGCUUGCUUCUUUGCUGACGAGUGGCGGACGGGUGAGUAAUGUCUGGGAAACUGCCUGAUGGAGGGGGAUAACUACUGGAAACGGUAGCUAAUACCGCAUAACGUCGCAAGACCAAAGAGGGGGACCUUCGGGCCUCUUGCCAUCGGAUGUGCCCAGAUGGGAUUAGCUAGUAGGUGGGGUAACGGCUCACCUAGGCGACGAUCCCUAGCUGGUCUGAGAGGAUGACCAGCCACACUGGAACUGAGACACGGUCCAGACUCCUACGGGAGGCAGCAGUGGGGAAUAUUGCACAAUGGGCGCAAGCCUGAUGCAGCCAUGCCGCGUGUAUGAAGAAGGCCUUCGGGUUGUAAAGUACUUUAAGCGGGGAGGAAGGGAGUAAAGUUAAUACCUUUGCUCAUUGACGUUACCCGCAAAAGAAGCACCGGCUAACUCCGUG
rnacentral:rRNA from 1 species